AUGUUAAAAUGAGAAAUGUAAGGUGCAUGAAUGCAAAAGUUUUGAUUUAAUUCGUAAAAGUCAACAGUUUCACUACAAUUCAGAUUUAGGCAUUCCCAUCUCAAACUUUUCAAAAUAAAGCAAGAGUGAGUUAAAAAGACAAAAAGAAAAUGUAGAAAAAUACGAUCAGCCUGAAGAAAUAGCAUACUGUUUGUUGUUAUUUUUUUAAUCUAGCAAACCUGCAAAUAUAUAUAUUUUUGUUUUAAAUCUACAAUAAUAUAUGAAAAGUUAAAUUAUGUGACUGCUAUCAUGUUUAGUUUCGGGUUAAAAAUGAAAACAUAACAUCAUUUUUGCAAACACAAAAGUACUAAAAUGUGUGUGGCCCCUGGAGUUGUUUCAGCUUGACAUUUUUGGCCCCCAUGCCAGAAAGUUAUCACACCCAUUGUCUUAUAUGAAAUGUGCUCUUAUUUUUUCAGUGUAAAGACUGAAAAAGAAGGUUUGGACAUUAUACUGAGAGUUGUCAAAACUUUCAGGGUACAGCAAUAUGCAAACCUACCUGCAUAAUACAUUAAAUACUGAGUGGUAUUGGCAGCCAUUUUGGAUGCCACGUAAGAUUGUAGUGUAGUCACAGGAGCAUUUUUUAAUCAUUGGGGGGACAAAAUGGAUAAGUUGCUUAAUUAUGUGGCCUUCAUCAAAAUUGUCUGGAAAAAUUUGACGAAUCUUUGUAUUUUAGAAAGUGAAUGUGGAAUUUGAUUAGUUUGGCUGCUGUCAGAUUAUUUUUUUUAGGUCUAAAUUGCAUUUCUCAAUUUUAAGCAAACAUUGGUUUUAGUCACUUUGACACCAGGCCCCUCGUCUUAAGAAGAAAGUUAGAUUAAAAAAAAAAAAUGCCUGUGGCCACAUAGCAUUUUGUCUUUACAAUAAUUCAUCCCAGGCUACGUUUUAUUAUGUGUUUUCUUGUAAUUGGUGCCUAAUAUUGUCAAGUUAUUUUUAGAUGUGAUUAUGAUGUUAUUAUUGUUUCUUUUUCAGAGAUGCUAAGUCACGAUGAAGCAAUGUUUUCAACCAUGGGUUAACAUGACAGGGAGUGAAUAGAGUUCCCAUCCGCUGAGGUCAGGCUGCCAUCUUUGCGCAGUGGCAGUAUCGUAGCCUAUGAGGUUUAUCCGAGGCGCGAUUAUUGCUAGUUGAAAACUUUACCCAAUACCCCGCCUUGACGACUUGAAAUAUAGUCGGCAAUGGCAAUUUUUGACGGUCUCUACGGAGGCUGAUUUUAUUGUAAAUGGAACAAAAUUUUGAUCUGAGAAGUAUUGAGAAAGUAAUCUGCAUUCAUUGGUAUGUAUUUCCGAAUGGUGAUGGGCCCGAUGACGCAGAAACCUCGGCGCAUGCGCCGAGCAAACAAAACGAAACCUCGUGUCGGUGCGCGUAUCGCUUUAAGGAAAACCACGUGGCCAAAUACAGUUCCUGUGUCGUUUGGUUGCGAAAACGCGCCAAAUUGUUUUUGUGAAGGAGAAACAGCGUCGACACGUUUGUGGGUUUUGUUGAAUGGAGAUACUUUGCGUUGGUUUUUGGCUCGUAUUUGAACACCGGCAUGAAUCAACCGAGGAAGAGGACUUUUCCUCCCGUGUGGGAUCAUUCUUGAUCUGGUCGCGGAGGAUAAGGUGAAACAGGAUUUGCUCCCAGGUGUGGUCUUACUGUAACUGGAGAUCUUCCACAAAGCUGAGGCAUCAUCGCGCCCGGCAUGAGGGGAUGAUCCGGUCAACACUCCGUGAUAAACCCUGGUGCUUCCAGAAAGCAGGCGACUGAACUGGACCUUCAACUCAACCGCCUGCUCCCAGUUCAGACCCGUGGCAGCAGCUGAACAUGGAAAUCGAAGAGGGCAAGGCCAAUUCAAAUGUCUCCACAGAUGCCGUCAUCGAGGUACAAAGAUUCAUCUCGGAGGCAAACGCACCAAGAUCACAAGGUCCGCUACAAUACUGGGGGAUGCAAAGACUACAAUUACCCUACGUCACACAAACAAUGAUUAAAUUUCUAUGUAUGCCGUCAUCAUCGGUGUUCUCAAAAGCAGGAGAAGUGGUUUGUAGACGGAGCAAUCGCCUCGGCCCAAGGCUGUUACAGCAGCUGGUGUUUCUAAAUAAAAACAUGUGGAUGAACCUGGUUCAGUCUGUUUCCAGUCUCUUGCUGUGACAUGAUCUGCAACAGCAACACAUUGUCAGCACUGUGUCGACACAGUUUGAGGUAUAUGCCAAUGAGGCAUCAUCUGACCGUCACUAUUUCUGAAAGCGGUCAGGAUGUGUCUAGUCAAUGAAGUCUUGUAGUUUCUGUAUAACAGAAUUCAUAAGUGAUUUUUCUCUUCCGUUCCACGUUUGAAAACCAAUUAACUGUUCUGAGCCAGUUCGCCUUGUCUCGUGAAAGCAAAGAAGACAAUGUCUUUUCAUCAACAUAUUAAUAUUUGGAUGACCCAUAAGUACCCAAAUAUUUCUGUCUAAAGUCUCCAAGAAGAAAUAGGCUCUUAUUUUUUCAGUGUCAUAACUACGCUGAGGUUUGGACAUUGCAUAUCAAUUUACAGCAAUGGGCUGUGCAAACCUACCUGCACAACACAUUGACUGCUGGGUGAUAUUAUUAGCCAUUUGGGAUGCCAUUUAAGAUUUUCACCAGCUGAAGAUGAAGUGUAUAGUCACUUUAGCAUUUUUUAGCAAUUGUGAAUAAAAUCGACAGAAUGCAAAUUGUUGAAUUUGUUAGGCUUCCCGCUUCUUUGUGUAAGUUAUCUAAAGAAAACAAAACCUCGAUGAAUUAUUGUAUUUUAUAAAGUGAAUGUGGAAUUUGAUUAGUUUGACAGCUGUCAGUUAAAUUUCAUUAAAGUCUACAUUGCAGUUCUCAAAUUGAAGCAAACAUUGGUUUCAAUCAGUUGAUGCCCAAUAUUGUCAAGUUAUUUUUUAAAUGUGAUUAUAAUGUUAUUACUGUUUACUCUGCAGAGCUGCUGAAUGAAGACGAAGCAAUGUUUUCAACCAUGGGUUAACAUGAUAGGGAGUGAAUAGAGUUCCCAUCCGCUGAGGUCAGGCUGCCAUCUUUGCGCAGUGGCAGUAUCGUAGCCUAUGAGGUUUAACCGAGGCGCGAUUAUUGCUAGUUGAAAACUUUACCCAAUACCCCGCCUUGACGACUUGAAAUAUAGUCGGCAAUGGCAAUUUUUGACGGUCUCUACGGAGGCUGAUUUUUUUGUGAAAGUGAUCACAUAUGGGACUUAUGCAUGGUCAGACAUAGAUCUUACAAACUUAAAAAGUAGACUAAUGUUAGCUAUGUGUGUUUAUGAAAGCAGACUGAAUGUGUCUAAAAAAAAAGUU